GAUGAACGCUAGCGAUAGGCUUAACACAUGCAAGUCGAGGGGCAGCACAAGGUAGCUUGCUAUCUGGGUGGCGACCGGCGCACGGGUGCGUAACGCGUAUGCAACUUGCCCUAUACAGGAGGAUAACCCGUCGAAAGACGGACUAAUACUGCGUAUGCUCACAACUUGGCAUCAAGUGGUGAGGAAAGAAAUUCGGUAUAGGAUAGGCAUGCGUCCCAUUAGCUUGUUGGUGAGGUAACGGCUCACCAAGGCAACGAUGGGUAGGGGAACUGAGAGGUUUAUCCCCCACACUGGUACUGAGACACGGACCAGACUCCUACGGGAGGAAGCAGUGAGGAAUAGUGGUCAAUGGGCGCGAGCCUGAACCAGCCAAGUCGCGUGAAGGAUGACUGUCUUAUGGAUUGUAAACUUCUUUUAUACGGGAAUAACAAGAGUCACGUGUGACUCCCUGCAUGUACCGUAUGAAUAAGCAUCGGCUAACUCCGUG
rnacentral:rRNA from 1 species